GGGGCCCGCACAAGCGGUGGAGCAUGUGGUUUAAUUCGACGCAACGCGAAGAACCUUACCUGGGCUUGACAUCCCGAUCGUACCUGCUGGAAACAGCGGGGUCAGUUCGGCUGGAUCGGAGACAGGUGCUGCAUGGGCUGUCGUCAGCUCGUGUCGUGAGAUGUUGGGUUAAGUCCCGCAACGAGCGCAACCCCUACGUUUAGUUGCUAACGCGUGAAGGCGAGCACUCUAGACGAACUGCCGUUGACAAAACGGAGGAAGGUGGGAUGACGUCAAAUCAUCAUGCCCCUUAUGUUCUGGGCUACACACGUGCUACAAUGGCCGGUACAGACGGACGCAAAGCCGCGAGGUGGAGCAAAUCCUAAAAAGCCGGUCUCAGUUCGGAUUGCAGGCUGCAAUUCGCCUGCAUGAAGUCGGAAUCGCUAGUAAUCGCAGGUCAGCAUACUGCGGUGAAUACGUUCCCGGGCCUU
rnacentral:rRNA from 1 species